GAUGAACGCUGGCGGCGUGCCUAAUACAUGCAAGUCGAGCGAACAGACGAGGAGCUUGCUCCUCUGACGUUAGCGGCGGACGGGUGAGUAACACGUGGAUAACCUACCUAUAAGACUGGGAUAACUUCGGGAAACCGGAGCUAAUAGCGGAUAAUAUAUUGAACCGCAUGGUUCAAUAGUGAAAGACGGUUUUGCUGUCACUUAUAGAUGGAUCCGCGCCGCAUUAGCUAGUUGGUAAGGUAACGGCUUACCAAGGCAACGAUGCGUAGCCGACCUGAGAGGGUGAUCGGCCACACUGGAACUGAGACACGGCCCAGACUCCUACGGGAGGCAGCAGUAGGGAAUCUUCCGCAAUGGGCGAAAGCCUGACGGAGCAACGCCGCGUGAGUGAUGAAGGUCUUCGGAUCGUAAAACUCUGUUAUCAGGGAAGAACAAAUGUGUAAGUAACUAUGCACGUCUUGACGGUACCUAAUCAGAAAGCCACGGCUAACUACGUG
rnacentral:rRNA from 1 species